CAGGUUAGUUGUCUUGGUCUGGAGGAUAUAUAGAGAGAUCACAGGUUAGUUGUCUUGGUCUGGAGGAUAUAUAUAGAGAUCACAGGUUAGUUGUCUUGGUCUAGAGGAUAUAUAUAGAGAUCACAGGUUAGUUGUCUUGGUCUGGAGGAUAUAUAUAGAGAUCACAGGUUAGUUGUCUUGGUCUGGAGGAUAUAUAUAGAGAUCACAGGUUAGUUGUCUUGGAGGAUAUAUAUAGAGAUCACAGGUUAGUUGUCUUGGUCUGGAGGAUAUAUAUAGAGAUCACAGGUUAGUUG